rnacentral:rRNA from 1 species
AACUGCGAGUGAAGCGGGAAAAGCUCAAAUUUAAAAUCUGGUGGUCUUUGACCGUCCGAGUUGUAAUUUAGAGAAGCGUCUUCCGCGCCAGACCGUGCACAAGUCUCCUGGAAUGGAGCGUCAUAGAGGGUGAGAAUCCCGUCUUUGGCACGGAACCCCUGGUGCUUUUGUGAUGCGCUCUCAAAGAGUCGAGUUGUUUGGGAAUGCAGCUCAAAAUGGGUGGUGAACUCCAUCUAAAGCUAAAUAUUGGCGAGAGACCGAUAGCGAACAAGUACCGUGAGGGAAAGAUGAAAAGCACUUUGGAAAGAGAGUGAAACAGUACGUGAAAUUGUUGAAAGGGAAACGCUUGGAGUCAGUCGCGUCGGCCAAGACUCAGCCUUGCCUYGGCUUGGUGUACUUCUUGGYUGACGGGCCAGCAUCGAUUUCGUCCCUYAGAUAAUGGCRAGGGAAAGGUGGCACCUUURCRGGUGUGUUAUAGUCUCUYGUCGCAUGUGAGGGGUGGGAUCGAGGAACUCAGCACGCACCUUUUGGUGUCGGGGCUUCGGCCC